rnacentral:rRNA from 1 species
AUUAAAAACCCAAUGCCCUCUGGGCUCCUUGGUGAUUCAUAAUAACUUUUCGAAUCGCAUGGCCUUGCGCCGGCGAUGGUUCAUUCAAAUUUCUUCCCUAUCAACUUUCGAUGUUUGGGUAUUGGCCAAACAUGGUCGCAACGGGUAACGGAGGGUUAGGGCUCGACCCCGGAGAAGGAGCCUGAGAAACGGCUACUACAUCCAAGGAAGGCAGCAGGCGCGCAAAUUACCCAAUCCCGAUUCGGGGAGGUAGUGACAAUAAAUACUGAUACAGGGCUCUUUUGGGUCUUGUAAUUGGAAUGAGUACAAUUUAAAUCCCUUAACGAGGAACAAUUGGAGGGCAAGUCUGGUGCCAGCAGCCGCGGUAAUUCCAGCUCCAAUAGCGUAUAUUAAAGUUGUUGUGGUUAAAAAGCUCGUAGUUGAACCUUGGGCCUGGCUGGCCGGUCCGCCUCACCGCGUGUACUGGUCCGGCCGGGCCUUUCCCUCUGUGGAACCUCAUGCCCUUCACUGGGUGU